rnacentral:rRNA from 1 species
UGACCUCAGAUCAGGUAGGACUAC